GACGUAGGUGGCGAACGUUAUCCGGAAUUAUUGGGCGUAAAGGGUGCGUAGGCGGCAUGAUAAGUUAUUGGCGGCAAAUCGAGGCUCAACCUCGAGGAAACUGAUAAUACUGUUUUGCUUGAGUACAGAAGAGGUUAACGGAACUCCAUGUGGAGCGGUAAAAUGUGUAGAUAUAUGGAAGAACAUCAAUAACGGCGAAGGCAGUUAACUAUUCUGUUACUGACGUUGAGGCACGAAAGCGUGGGGAGCAAAAAGG
rnacentral:rRNA from 1 species